ACGCAGCUGACGAGUCCCAAAUAGGACGAAACGCGCGUCCUGGAU
rnacentral:hammerhead_ribozyme from 1 species